rnacentral:rRNA from 1 species
AUUGAACGCUGGCGGCAUGCCUUACACAUGCAAGUCGAACGGCAGCACGGGAGCAAUCCUGGUGGCGAGUGGCGAACGGGUGAGUAAUAUAUCGGAACGUGCCCAGUCGUGGGGGAUAACGUAGCGAAAGCUACGCUAAUACCGCAUACGAUCUACGGAUGAAAGCGGGGGAUCGCAAGACCUCGCGCGAUUGGAGCGGCCGAUAGCAGAUUAGCUAGUUGGUGCGGUAAAGGCUCACCAAGGCGACGAUCUGUAGCUGGUCUGAGAGGACGACCAGCCACACUGGAACUGAGACACGGUCCAGACUCCUACGGGAGGCAGCAGUGGGGAAUUUUGGACAAUGGGCGCAAGCCUGAUCCAGCAAUGCCGCGUGCAGGAUGAAGGCCUUCGGGUUGUAAACUGCUUUUGUACGGAACGAAACGGUGGGCUCUAAUACAGUUUGCUAAUGACGGUACCGUAAGAAUAAGCACCGGCUAACUACGUGCCAGCCGCCGCCGUAA